rnacentral:rRNA from 1 species
CCCGGGCCUUGUACACACCGCCCGUCACACCACGAGAGUUUGUAACACCCGAAGUCGGUGAGGUAACCCUUGUGGAGCCAGCCGCCGAAGGUGGGACAGAUGAUUGGGGUGAAGUCGUAACAAGGUAGCCGUAUCGGAAGGUGCGGCUGGAUCACCUCCUUUCUAAGGA